rnacentral:ncRNA from 1 species
GCAAAGAUAACGAGAAGAAAGAGUAAAUUUAGACGAACUUUUUAGAGAGCUGAUGAGGGUGGAAAUUCAGUAAGGAUCGUUAAAUUGAAGCAGUCUUUGAAUCGCGCACUGAGAACUAAGAGAACUCUUAAUGUAGGUGUAGCCGUUAACUCACGUUACGAGUUUCGAGUGGGUCAGAUCACUAUGAUGUGGCUUAUGAGGGUGGUACCGCGAAGCUAAACCUUCGUCCCUUUU